rnacentral:rRNA from 1 species
UACGGGGGGAGCAAGCGUUGUUCGGAUUUACUGGGCGUAAAGGGCGCGUAGGCGGUCAGUGCAAGUCAGUUGUGAAAUCUCCGGGCUUAACUCGGAAAGGUCAACUGAUACUGCUCGACUAGAGUGCGGAAGGGGCAACUGGAAUUCUUGGUGUAGCGGUGAAAUGCGUAGAUAUCAAGAGGAACACCUGCGGCGAAGGCGGGUUGCUGGGCCGACACUGACGCUGAAGUGCGAAAGCCAGGGGAGCGAACGGG